UCUGGCUGGGCUGGUCUGUGCGGAGCGGGGGAGGUGAGUCAGCCGGCUCUGGGAACGGCCAUGCCUCCAGGGUCAGCAGGUCCCAGGAGUCAAAGCCCAGACCCUCCCGCAGGCCGGCAGACUCCUGGCUUGCCGGCAGCACGCCCCCGUUGGGGAGAACGCUGGAGGCCUCCAUCCUCACUCCUUUAGCUUGCCUCAUCGCCGGUGGCGUCCCAACCCCGUGGGCAGGGGCCUCCGGUCUCUACCACCUGCUGUUCCUUCUGCCUGGACACUUGCAUUCCUGCCUCCUCACUGUCUUUACGUAUGAGCCGAAAGUCAGGCUGGUAAGACCCAGGGGUCCUGUUACCCUCUCCCCUGGGGUGUGUAUGGCUCUCAGGGCGCCAGUGCAUUCCAUGUGCAUUUGACUUGACGUUUAACCUGUUUGGAACAGAACCGUUUCCAAGACACCUUCUGUGAGAGAAUUGGGGCCAUUUUACAGAUUGGGAAAUUGAGGCACAAGAAACCCACCGACCCACUCAGCUCAUCACCAGGCCACUGACAGCCUCAUGUCCUGGGGCCUUUCCUUCUGCUCUCCGGUCCGGACUGCGGGUGGACGCUGCCUCGGGCUCUGCCUUUCUGCAGGCUGCCGUCCCCAGAGAGGUCGUGUUUGUGCUGCUCCGGGCUCCAGUAAAACCACUUCCCAUGUGCGGACGCUUGACGUCAGAUAAGGCUCGAAAUACUGGGCGGCAUGUUGUACCCCGUGUGUAGAUUGCAACUAUCAGGGAGUCCGGCCUCGGGGUCUGCAUGUGGGAAAGCCCGUCCGCCCAGCGCCUCGGGUCUCAGGCGCCGCCCGUAGCUGUGUUCUCUGCUCCGCUUCCCUUGCCGUGGAAGACGGGGUCCUCGGUAUAAACCGUGAUCCGGAAUGACGACCUGUCUGUGGCCUUCGUCAACAUCUCAGCGAGUUUGGCAGUUCAGAGGCAUAGGAGCAGUUUUUCGCGCUUGAACACGUCUUUCUUCAUAGCUUCGGUUUGCAGAACAAAUGUUUCCGUGUGCUUGUGCUUCCUGAAAUGUCAAAAAUCCCACAAGUAUGAAAACAGUUAUUCUCAAAGAAGGGGUCUUUGACGAAGGACAGUUGCUCACCGUGACUCUGGCUUUGCGAAGUGCUGUGCCACAUUCCAUCCGCUGCGUGCGAAGACAGAGAUCUUGGUUAGCGAGGUGGAGGCCAAGUCCCCAAAGGGGAGAGUCACCCUGAGGAGGGCACCCCGGCCGGGCCUGUGAGCCUGCACUGUCACGUCCUCGUCGGUGGAGAAGCAUGUGACCCUGUGGGGUGAAGACAGCCUUCCCCGGCCGGCCUGGCAGCUGGCGACAGCCAUGGGGCCGCGUCGGUCCGGAGAGCUGCAGGCAGAGCCAAACAGGUCCUGUGGGAGGACCCGGAGGGUCCCGGGGCAGGAGGGCGGGAGGUCUGAGAAGAGGCCUGGGAGGAAAUUGAUUCCCUAGAGAUGACAACGUCCCCCUGCAGCGGGGGCGUGUCCCCCGAACCCAGAGCCGCAGCCAGUGGGUUAGCAGGACGUGGUGCCUCGCGUGGAGACGGGCCGGUCGGACCAGGAUGCUCGCCGCCCCUUCCCUCCCUCUCCCCUCCCCGGCCCCUCCCUGUCCUGCUGGCCGCAGGCUCCUGGGCAGAGCCUCUCACACGGCCGGGUGGGUUCCCAUGUCUCAUUCGGCCUCCGAGGUGAGUGGCGCAGCAGGCGUGGAUGGCGUGGGCAGACCUGCGCCUGCCCGUGGACCCGUCCCCAGCAUUGCACCUGGACCCACGCACGUGGACCUGUGGCUGCAGGUGCAUCCGUCCCUCUUCCCACCACGCCCGCGUGCACAGACGCCAGCUGCGGGGCCGGGACCCGGGGCCGCUCUGCUGUGCACCCGACGUUCUCGCUUUAGCAAACAGGGAAGCUGUUUGGGGCGAGGGCUCUUGGCCUCUCAUAACAGACGCUGGAGAUCCCUUAUCUGGCUUCCUCACUUCAGGGCAGCGGUCGUAAGAGGACCCUUGUACGUAUUUUCAACCUUGAGUUGAUGAGGCCAGGAACGCAUACUGGAUCCGGGGCCUUUUAUGAGCUACUUGACUUUGAAGCCUCCGUGGCGAGGGCGUGUCCCAUAGAGCACGGGGUGGGGGCUGGGAUUUGUGUCCGGAAGGUCGUACGGGGUGUGCGGUCCUCGACCCUGGGCGUGUUUGUGUAGUUACAACUGAAACGGUGUGUAUUUCGCUCACUGUGUCUUUUUAGGGUGCUCCCCACCGAUCACCCAGAACGAGCCCAAUUCCUUGUACAGGGGCAUCCUUCGAGCCAGGAAUCAAGGUCUUGCUGACGUGCUGCUCCGCUGGGCCAGUCCCCUCUGACCUGGCAACCGUGUCCCACUUCAGCCACUUGUAGCCCGCACUGUCCUUGCGGCUGGGGUCUGGGAUGGGCUGACGCAGGUCACGGUUUCCCCAGCACAUAGGUUACAUCCCAUGACAUGAGAAGGCAGUGGACCAGAGCCAUGGGCGUGGGUUCUGCCGUGACCCUGGGAGGGGCUCCGCUGCCCUCAGCCUCCCGUUUCCCCCCUUGGCUGUUUAUAGGGACAUAGCCUGUGGGGCAAAGCUUGACCCUUCUGGGAGGUUUUCCUUAGGGUUGGGAGAGUGAACACAGGUGGAGUGCCCAGCGCGGGUCUGGCACCGGGUGAGGCCACUGAGCGCCGGCUGUGUUCGCAAGGGCACGGGGCGUUCUGCUCUGGAACCUGCAGCCUUCCCGCCGCAGGGGGCAUGGUGGUGGGCAGGUGCGCCUUCCCCAGCCCCAGUCCCUCAACAUCUGACAACACUGGGUAAACAUAGAGUGUGGAUUCUUUUAGGAAGGUUAGGGAAUCCGUCUUGCUGCUCUGAGAACCAGAUCCUGGAUUGCAGAUGGGGUUUUGUGGAAAGCUGGCGGUGGGUCCAGAGGCCAACUCGGUUGUGGGGGGAAGGGCACUGCCGACCUGUGUGUCCCACUACAAGACCACAGCUCCACAAGUCCAGGUGUGGACACGUCUGACCCCUGAGGAAGAGCACGAGAACCCUGUGCUGGGCAGCUCACCCCCGUCUGAGUGCGCACAGGUCGUGGGACAGCGGGUCCUCCGUGCUCCCCGAGACUCGGGAGUGUGGUGCUGCGCAACACACACUCGCGUCUCUCCGGGCACACGGCUGGCAUGCGUGCGCCGUGUGCGACUUAGCCGUGUAGGUGCGCCGACAGUGCGGGCGAGGCCUGCCCGUGUGUUGGCGGGGUCAGUCGCCCUCAUUCACUGACAAGAACUCGGGACAAGUUCUUUCCCCUUCUCAGCCGGGGCUUUGUCGUCUAUAGAACGGGGUUAAUGAGACAAGCCCUCUCGAGGGUCCCCGGGAACGGCACCCCGCUGUCGGGUCCUCGCUGAGCCGGGCUGCCGGAGGCUGUCGGGGCACAGCUGUCGGGGAGCGCACGGGAGGCCGGGGCCCCUUCCCCUCCGCAGAGCACAGGCCUCUGGUGUUUCUCGUGCUCUGUGGCGACGGAGCGGCCUCCUUCCCUUUGGUGGGUCCCGCGGCCUCUGUUUGGUCUGGAGACUCUCCGGGUCCGUGGCCGAGGCUUCCGUGGGUGCUCGCCCGCCCCACUCGGACCGGCCUGGCCCCUUCAUUCCGCUGUCGCUCUGAUGCAGAGAAUGUCUUCACGGCCGGUCUCACGUGCCCAGAGUGAGACUUCGUUUCGUCAGGAAGCGCGAACUCCUGCGUCCCUCAGCCGUGGGAGGCUUCGCGGAGCAGACAUGGGCGGCAGCUCAGCCUGGGCUCCAGCUCUGCCCUCUGGCCGGCGUCUGUGGGAGCGGCUCCGUCUCCUUCCUCUGUCACCAGGAGAGACUCGUGAAGAAAGUGACCACGUGAGUGUUGCUGGGCUGCACCCCCGGCCUGGGCAGGGCGUGAGGCGCUGGUGCGGACCGCAGGGGCCCCGGCGACCCUUGGCAGACGCGCCUCCGGCUUUAAGCAGUGCUCGUGAAGAGUCACGCUCGGUUGCCUAGAGGUGGCGAUGACGAGGGGUCCGCGGCCCCGCACAGGCACAGGAGAACACCUGGUGGCCCUGUGACUUCUGCAGACACUCUGUGCUUGACUGGCGUGAAGUGUGGAAGCGGCUUCCCGGGUAGAGACCCUUGCUGGGAAACCAGGACGAGGAUGUGGAGUAGAUUCCGAUGUCACGGACGGGGGGCAGGUGUGUGCUUGUCGUGGGCCCCGUUUUCAGGGACAGGCCUCAGGGGCCAGCUGCCUGGGGGUCGGGAGGGCUUUCUCCGGCCAGCCGGGGACCCCGAGGAGCAUGUGUGCUGACCCGACUAUCAUCCGCUCCGUCCACAGUCAGAGGCAAGGAUGCAGCCAGACCUCAGCGGGCAGCCUUACCCGAAAGGUGUGUCCAGGAGUCUCUCCUCUUAGAAUCAUCUUCCACCUUAGGAUGAGAAGCUCUCGCUGAAGCCUGCGGACAAGCAGGCUGGCCCAGCUCUGUCUGUCUGCCGCAUUUCGCAGCUGCGCCCCCUCGCCAGCCCCGAGCCACGUGCAGCGGCUUCCUUAUGAGACCCGAUUCCCCGAACCCUUGUGUCUACUGCUACUGCAGCUCAGCAGUGAAGACGGUUUCUGGGAGGAGGAGACAUUAUCGCUUGAUCGACGUCGCAAGUUCUUACCUGAUUGUCCCCCCACGGUUUCUCCCAACCUGACGGCUGCACAAGGCGCCCCGGGGGGCCAGCCUGCCUCCACCACAGGCUGGGGGGAAUUGCCCUGAUGGCUUUUCCACCAAGGUCUGAGGCGGCUUGCCGCUGGGAGAGGGCGUAGUGGGGGUGAUGACGAUGGCACCUUGGGAACCCGGGUCAGGACACUCUGGGCAGGGUUGAGGGCCAGCCUGCGAGGAGCACACGGGCAGACGGGGGGCCCCGUUCUGUCUUGGCUCAGCCGGGGCCGGACCAGGGCUGGCCCUGCCAGUGGCCUUUUCUCUGGUUCCACGAGUUAGCCUGAGACCUUGCACUGGGGGCUGUAACUUGCGGCCCCGGCCCUGGCCCGUCCCACUUGUCCCUCAGUGUGUGAUCUGAACCGGGCCCUCCCCCUGCAAACCGUGGGGGCGUCCGCCUGUACCUGGCCACGCCUGGGCAGAGUCUGCCAGGAAACCUGCCCCUUGGGGGUCCUCAAAGCCACCGUCCUGCUGCCCGUCCCCAUCACACCUCCAGAAACAGGUCCCUGCUGACCUGUCUCCCUUCCGCGUGCACAGACGCCCCAUCUACAAGCCGGGAAUCUGCUUUUCCUUGAGAAAAUGGCUUUGAGUCACAGCAAUGUCCACUCCGAAUCGGGGCUGAGUGUGGCUGGUGUGGAGACCUCGCGCUGCCGCACCGCAGGCUGCUGGUGGGCUGUGGCUGGGUGGGGACAGCUCCUGGCUCCGGUUUCCAGAUAGGCUCCCUGCCGUGUGAUGCCGUGCGGCUGCCAGCCUCCUCUGCGGGGUCAGCCCCCGGGACAGGCUUCAUCUAUCCCGUUUGCCCGCACUCCUGCACCGCACAGCAGCUCUCGGAGAUGCUCAGUCAGCAUUUGGGGAGUAAGAGAAUUAAAAAAUGAAUGACUCGGUCUAGGGAGAGGACAGAGCUUUGGUGCUGGUCGCACCGUCUUACGAAUAUUUUACCCCACGAAUGAAGGAGGGGUUAAAUCUAGAAAGUGUCAUCUUCAAGCUAAAAAAAUAGGGUUUAUCGUAAUGACUUUGGGAUAGAGAAAGAUUUCCUACGAAGCCCACUAAAGACAGGCUGUACAGAAAAAUACUGAUGCGCGUCAGCAAGACCACGCUGUAGACAUCUUACGUAGACCACGGGGAGUACAAGCUACUAGUGGGCACAGGAUAGUUACAAAGAACGUCACGACGUGUACGAUGUGAAGAGGUUCGCAGAGCCUGUGGAAAGCGCACAACAAAAUGACGGGCAGAGGACGGGACAGGCCGUGGCCAGAGGACGCACCCCGCAUGGCGAACACGCGGAGAGAAGAUGCUCGUGUGGCUGCAGCUCCGGAAACGCAGAGGCGACCCCCGGGGGGUAAUUUCAUUUUGGAAUUGAGAACAUCGGAAGCUGCCCAUCAAGGGGGAAGGCAUAGCCUGUUUGCGCAGUCACCUGUGGCCUUCCCAAUGUUGUCACACUCAUAACCAGGAGUGAAAGGCCCCACGGCCGGUGGCGCCAAGACACAGCCCCAGAGCCCCGUUGAAUGCGGGUUUGCUUUAGAAGCACGAGAUGCUCCAACGGGAGACCUGGGGCGGCGGGGUGGACCGGCUUUGCUGGGCAGAGACUGUGGCUCAGCGGAAAGUUUCGGCGGGGCUGGCGGACAAGGCCCCGUGGCCGGGUGCGGGCCGAGGGGCCGAGCAGGGUCUGCUUGGGAAAGCGAGCUGGGGGCGCCGGUGUGAGGAGCUGGUGGUGAGGAGAACGUUCACGAGGCCUUGCUCACGAACUGUAAGUUUAGUUUUAUUUUGUUUGAUAAGGAAACUGGUUUUUACACAUUUAAUUUCAGCUUUCCAGUUUUAUUUUACUUUUGCGGUUGGAAGUGUUACUCUAAAUGGAAGUUGUUUUACUGCUCACGGGAUUGCCACGGAUCUGGCCCCAGACGCAGCUCUGUGGGCGAGCCCCCGGGUUCGGGGCAGAGCCGAAGAGAACGGGCGCCGCGCCCGCCCCCCGUGCUCUGGCAGCGUCGGGUCUCUGUGGGAGACGCUCUGCCACGGGCUGACGGUGUCAGCAGGGGGAUCGUUCCGGGCCGACACUUGGCAAAGGCCGUCCUCAGCCAAAUGCGGUUUUGAAAGGAUUUGAUCUGUCAUUGCACUUGGCUCCGUUAGCGGAGGGAAAGAGACAACAGUUUAUCUCGCUUCUGAUUCUGUGAUCAUUUCAGUUUCAAUCUAAAUGCCGUGACCCUGGCAGGUCGCGGGCUUCCGGCACGGAGCGGCGUUUCGGCGACUUUGGGAAAAGAAACCCCAUUCACACGAGUCAGAGUUUUAUGAGCGGCUGCCCCCUUUCCCGCCGUGGCUGUGCUGUGAUGUUGACCCAACACGACACACAGCUCCCUCUGUCCCCUGCUGGACGGUGGCCCGGCGUCUUCGGUCUGUGGAUCGAGAUCACUCAGCGCCGGAGAGCUCAGGGCAACAAGAAGCCUCUGUUCCGGCGACGACGGGCUCUGAGCAGAAAGGGUCCCUGCGCGCGGGCUGGGUGAUGAAUCACAGGCCGGCGCCCGGACAGAGAAGGGUCUUUAAUAAGGCCAUCCCGGUGGGUGGGGCGGAGCCCAGGGCCGGUUCUGCUUCAGUGGGUGAACUUGGAGGGAACCCCGUCCCACGACCGCCUCUGGCACCCGGAGCCCAGCCGUCCUCACAGCCACCUCUUCCCGGCUUCCAGGACCCCGGCACCUGGCUUUGAGUAAGGGGCCGGUCGGCACUCUUCCACUCUUGGAGGACGCCCCCUCCUCUACACACUCGGAACCGAGAGCGUGGUUCCAGCAAGGAGACAUACUCCGAGGCCGCCUGUGGCACUCGGUUUCGUCCUCAGUCCUGGCUUUUUUUGGCUUUGAACUCCGCGCUGCUUGGAUGGCUCCCCAGAAGGAAGGGGAAGGAUCCCUGAUGUCCAGCACCCCAGGGAAAGUGUGUCCAGGGACAGCCUCUGCGAGGCCGGGGCCCUGGAGCUGCUCUGAUCACCCCCAGUGGGGAGGGUGGGGGUCCCCCCUAAGUAGUGUGACCUCUGACCCCAGCCCCCAACCCAGGACAGGCAAGAUGGGCAGCAGGUACCAAGUCACAGGUACGGCCUGGGGAGGAGGGCCCUGCCUGCCUCGCAGGGGCACACAGGCUGUCCCGGGACCCACAUGACAUGGCUGGGGCCACGGGACAAGUCUUGGUAGUGACAGGGUCAUAGGUCGCCCUGGCAGAUCGGGGAGGGGGCGCAGCUAGGGGGCUAGUUUGAACAUUCUAGGUCCCGGGAGCAACCCAGAAGCCAUGAGCCUCCACCUCAGGGAGCCAGCCCUGAGCAGCCUUUCCCGCCGAGGGCAGGGGACUCGCAGUCAGGCCCCGGGGACGGCGUUUCGGUGCGCCUUUAGACGUCUGUUUUGCCGGCCAUGGUGAGAUCUUCUGAAGGUGGCCUGUUGUUCACGUCAGUGCACUGAAGUCUCUGUCUCAGAGCGUCAGCAGAGCAGAAGCCGAGAGGGACCCCUUCCUCCUCCUCCUCAGGCACAUUCCGCAAAGUAGCGCUUGGCCCAGACCCCGGCGGCAGAAGCAGGGCUGGGAUCGCGCCGCUGGGGGUCCCAGGGCUCUCCCCGUCCGGGCCCCCUCUCUCCAGCCGCUGCCCCCGUGGUCUCCCACCCCAGCCGGCCCCGCUUCCUCCCUCCAGCCAGUGUCUCUGGGCCUGUCUUCAGAGUUCCAUGCGUCUGGCCUGGGACAUGUGGGCGUCCGGAGGCUCGUGCAAUGAAACCCCUCCCUUCUAUGCGUGGGUCCCCACUCCCACAUCUGUGUCCUGACGAGCCCCUCCCACCGCUGUGUUAAGUGGGACGCAGUGUGGGCAGGUCUGGCCGGUGGCUGUGUGGCGGGGAACAGGGGUCCCGUCCAGAGGGUGGCCGGCCUGGGCUUCCGUGAGGACAGGGGCUCUCCCGUGGGCGAGGGCCACUCGGCACCGAAGCUCUCCAGGGCAGCCGAGUGCUGCGCGGCCUGGUUCUGCCGGGCAUGUCUGUAAGCAGGGCUGUAGCGGGCUGAGCUCCGCAGCAUAGGGUAGGGAAGGGGCGGCACAGUUCGGAAGCGGGUGACGAGCAGGAUCCGGGUGCAGACCCAGGUGCAGACACAGGGCGUCACUUUGUGUCCUUGACGGAGGCGCGGGCCGUGGCUGGUCAGCUUCCCUGUCUGUGGGGUGACGAGUUUGGCUCCGCGGCCCCGACGCGCGUGCGGUUUUAACCUGCUUGUUGACGGCCCAGCCCAGAGGCCAGGGCCGGUGCUAGCGCCUGUCCCCACCUUUCUUGCCCUGUCCUGGAGGCGCUUGGGUCCUGCUGUCUCGGCAUACGCGGAUUCUGACCAUAGUAUAGAUUGGUGGGAAAUGACUCUUCUGUUCAAACUAGUGUUAUUUGAGCUCGCAGUGAUUCAUUUUAGUUUCACGUUCCAGGCCGCGUGCUCCCCCACAACCGUGUGUGGAGAGCGAGGCCCUGCCCCAGGUGCCUCUGCCCUCGGCGCGUCUCUCCAGGACGCUCGCAUGGCACUCGAGGAGGCAGGGUGGGUGGCGCAGGCUCUCGGACCAUGGGCAGGGGCGAGACCCGGAGCUCACCCAGCACCACCCUGUCCCCCAUGCCUGUGUGGACCUGUGUCCAGGGGCUUCCCGACCUGUGAGGCCAAGAGGCUGUGAGGUGCUGUGGGGGCCCCACUGGGCAGCUGCCCCGCCCGAGCCAGGACCCAGUCCGCCCGCAGCCGGCUGCUUGGGGUGUGACACACUGUGCUAAUAUUUACCGGGCUGUCGAUUCUUACUUAGAUCCUUCCUGAAAACGUCUCUCGAGUGUUCCCCUGCACGCAGCGCGUCAGGUUUCCCCGGAUGCCCGGCUCGCCUGUGGUUUUCUACACACUCCACCUGCCUCAGUAGAACUCGCCCGCCCUCUUGUCACUCUUCGCUCCGUGGGGCCCACCGGGCGCGGCCUAAGGGGCUGGUCUACGUGACACGUCACAUGCGGAAAAGAGAAGCGUCAGUGAGCCAACCCAUGGCUUCCACGAGCUACGCACGUCCGCGCCCGCCCUUGCCCGGACUUCCUGUGAGCGAGUGAAGCUGCGAGGAGCAUGGAGGCCUGUUUUCUUGGUCUCCUCAGUGCCAUGUCUGUGACCGUUCAGCAAUGGUUGAGAAAGGAGCCUUGGUUGGAGGUUUUUGUUGAUGGCCGUGGUGCAAACGCGGACUUCGAGCUCCCUGCGUGAGCCGCUGACAAGGGACGGGCUGGGCGCCUCUCGCAGACCAGCUGCUGCUUCGCUGCCCGCUCACCCGAGGGACAGACGACCCGCCGGUUUUGCGGUGAUGUUUCAGGCUUCGUCUUCCGCGUGAGCGCUGACCCUGGGAAGUGUGGCUGCACGGGCGGGGUGAAGCAUUGAAGGACUUGUGGAAGACCAGUCAGCCCCUCCUAUGGCUCCCGGGGGCGAGCUUCCUUCCACGUGUCCUUCUUCUGACCACUUUCUACCCAGCCGUAGAGAAGCCCUCCGGCACCUGGCCGAGGACCCCGGGACGGGAAGGGUGGGCCCUGAGAAACUUGAGCCCUCCCUAGCUCCAAGUCAAGAGAUGUAAGCUGAGAUGGCGGCUCCACGCCCCUGGGAGCUGUGCUGUCCCAGCUCUAGAGCCCGUGCUUCACAAGCGACACGAGAGCCGGGUCCUCACGCUGCCCUCACGGCUACAGCUCUCAGCCUGCUGGGAGGCUGACACCUCUACUCCGUCACCAGGUGGAGCCAGCUCGUCAUGGUCCCAGCUUCUCUCCCUGUCCUCCACAGUCCCCCUCAGGCUCAUAUCUUGAUAAUGAGUCCUUGGACACGUAUCUAACUGCCUAUUUGACCCCUGCGGGACACCUGAACACAGCAUAUCCUGAGCCCACUGAGAAGAGUGCCCACCACUCAAGACCCUGGGUUUUCUCUUGGAAUCUUCAGGUGCCCAGAAAAGAGAUUGUUCAUUUUUAUCAAUUUAUUAGUCACUUUAUAGGUCAACAGACUGUCAGCCCCCUGAGAUGAUCCAUGAAAAGAGCAAGGACCAGGACUGACUAGAAGGAACAGGGUGAAGACAUGGACGACCAACAUCAGGAAAGAGACAGGUGGCAUCACUACAGAGCCUACAGACACUAAUGGAAGAAUCAGGGACUAUUAUGAACAGCUCUCAUGCCCGCAUUCUCUCUGGGCUUCCACCGGACUGUUUACCCCUCUUCCUGCCAGUGCCACAGUCAGCUAACUAUGGUAGCUUUGUAGUAAGUUUCCAAAUCAAACAGCUUAAGACCUCCAGCUUUGUGCAUUUUCUUUAAGAUGGACAUGGUUUUCCAGGUCCUUUGCAUUUCCACAUAAAUUAUAGAAUCGGUUUGUCAGUUUCUACAAGAGAAUUCUUUGGACUUUGACGGAAAUCCCUUUCAAUCCAUAGAGAAAUAUAGAGAGAAGUGGACAUCUCUUUUCUUUUCAUUUUCCAAUCCAUAACUGUGUUACACUAUUCCCUGUAUUUAGGUCACCUUUAAUGCCCCUCAGCAGCGUCUUCUUUUAAAGACUAGGUUUUGCACCUAUGGCAUGUAUUUUGAUGCUAUUGGUAUUGUUUUAAUUUCAUCUUCCAGUGACUUUGUUGGUAGCACACAGGAAUACUGUUAAUGGAAUUUUGUAUAUUGGUCUUGUAUCCGUGGCCUUGCAAAUUUAAUUCUAAUAUUUUGUAGACUACUUGUAAAUUUUGAUGUAUAUAAACAUUUGUGAACAAUGUCAAUUUUGCUACUUUCCAACUUUACAUUUAUGCAUGCAUUUCUUUAUUUAGAUCUGUGCUUUCUCUUAUUGUUCUGGGUAGGACCCAUAGAGCAAUUGUUUAAUGGAAGUGGUGAGAGCACAUUCUUGUCUGUUCCUGACCUCAGGGGGAAACUGUUCAAUAUUUCACCAUUAAGGUUGAUGUAGCAGCUGUGGGGUGUACGCAUGCAUGUGUGCAUGUGCGUAAGGUGCUCUUUAAUUAAUGACGUGCUUUCUAGUUCUAGUUUGCUAUGGGUUUGAAAUAGGAACUAGUAUUGAGUUUUAUCUUUCUGCAUCUAUUGGCAGGAUUACACAGUUUUCUUUAUUUUAUUAAUGUGAGCGAUUUUUGUUUAUAUUCCUAACAUUUUAUCGCAAAUAUUUUCAAACAUAAAAAAAUGGAAAGAAUUGUACAAUGAACACUCACUGCCUGCUUAGUUUUCUGUAUUUGGUGUAUCACCUCUCUAUCUCGUCUAUCAGUUUAUUACAAAUUUUGACGUAUUCCAAAGGAAGUUGACAGCAGUACACUGGAUUCUUAAAUAUCUCAGUGUCUACGUUACUAGGUAGAGUUGAAUACUUACGUCUCCUUUUGUUUUGAACUAAAUGCACAGCUUUUGAGUGCACCAUCUAGUUAUUUCUGACAAUGCACGUGUGAAAUGUGAACCUGGAUCGAGAGACAGGAUUCUCUCACCGCCUCAGAGAACUCUUUCCUGCCCCUUCCAGUCAAUGCCACCUCACACUGCUCCCCCAUACCAUGUUUGGAUUUUCUCCCUCUAUAUAGGAUGGUUUAAUUUGUUCUAUGGUUUUACUUAAAUAGUGUCAAAUAGCCUGUCCUUUUUAUGUUUGGCUGCUCUCAUUUGAGAUCAAGUCUUUGAGAUCUGUCUGGGUGGUUGUGUGUGUUCGUGAUUCAGUCCUCCUGUUGCCCAGCAGUCUUUCUGGCCCUGACAUAUUUCUUUGUCCAUCCAUUCUCCUGUUGGUGGACGCCAAGGCUCCCUCUAACUGUUUGUUGUCACGAGUGAAGCCACCAUGAACAUUCGUGGACGCGUCCCUGGGUGGGUACACACUGUUGUCGUUCUCUGGUGCAUAACCCGAGUGGGCUCCUGGGUCAUCAGAGUGGGCUCCUGGGUCAUAGGGUAGUUGUCCAUUUAUUUUUAUAAGUUGUGUUCUGACAUUCCCCAAAUGGUUGUAUCAGUUCACAUUCCUGCCAAUUCCCUUGGCUCCUCAUCCUCCGAAUGUUUGGUGCUGUCAGUCGUUUUCACUUUAGCCAUCGUGAGGGGUGACUGGUUGCGGUUUGAAUUCGCACAUCCUUAACGAGUAGCAAGACCAAGAUUCGGGCGUGCUUGGUACCCAUUCAUGUACUCUUUACUGAAGUAGAUGUUCAACCGAAUGCCCGUGUUUACUGUGGUCUUUGUUUCUACGAAAUUGCAGAAGUUGUUUGUUCUUCAAAUACUCUGAGUACCAACUCAUUGCCACAUACAUAGAGAGGGUGUUUUCUCCCAAAACAUGGUUUGACUAUUCAACUGAAAGUUUAAGUUUUGAGGAUUUCUAUCAGUUUUUAAUGGUUAUUUCUUCUUGUAUGUGGCCUACCAGGAGGAUGUGAAGGUACUCUGCUGUACUGACUUCUAGAAGCUUCAUGGCUUUCAUGGUUGCAUUUAGGUCUGUGAUCCAUCUUGAGUUAAUUUUCAUGUGUGCUGUGCGGUCAGGCUCAGGUUCCUUUUGUUUGUUAGGGCUACCCCUUUAUUCUGGAGCCCUGUAUUGAAAAGACUCGAAUCCCUGCAUGAGACUGUGUGAGUCCUCUGUCAAAACCCAGCCAUGCCAGGGUGUGUGGGUCUGUUGAAGUACUUGUUAGUGUGUCUGGCACCAUGCUCUGUGGUUCCCGAAGGCCUUCCUGAGUCUUGACAUCAGACAGAGCCGCUCUUCAACGUUGUUCCUUCCCAGUACCCUGGCUAUGCUAGGUCCUCUGCCUUUUUAAAUAAAAAUUUUCUAAUUAGCCAAUCAAUUCCUACAGUGAAGACUGCUGGAAGUUUGAAAGUGUUACGUAGAAUAUAGAUAUAUUUGGGGAGAAUAGAUAUCUUAUUUAUGUUGCAUUUUCUAAUCUAGAACAUUCUACAUCUCUCCCUUUACUUGAGUCUUCUUGACUUUGUCUCAGAAUUGUUAACACUAUACAGCGUGGAAGUUCUACAUGUUAAAAAAACACAUUGUUUAUGUUUUGGGUGUUUUUUUUUUUUUUUUUGAUGCUAUUGUAAAUGGAAACUUUAAAAUCCUAUUUUCUAAUUGUUUGCUGCCAGCAUAUAAAAACACACUUGAUUCUGAAUUUUGACCUUAUAUCCUAAAUUCACCUAUAGUUUCUAAUGGUCGUUUGAACAAUGUUGACUAGAAGUGGUGAGCUUGAACACCGUUGCCUUGUUUCUGAACUUGUUGGGACGAUUCGUUAAAUGCUUUUUAUUUUACUACCAAAAUGAUAACUUCUUUUCUUCUCUAGUGUGCUAAGAUGGUGAACCAAGUUAGUUGAAUCUUUAAUGUUGAAUGUCUUGCAUUUCUAGAAUAAAACCUCUUGAGCAUGA